UACGUAGGGCGCAAGCGUUGUCCGGAAUUAUUGGGCGUAAAGAGCUCGUAGGCGGCUUGUCACGUCGGGUGUGAAAAGCCCGGGGCUUAACCCCGGGUCUGCAUUCGAUACGGGCAGGCUAGAGUGUGGUAGGGGAGAUCGGAAUUCCUGGUGUAGCGGUGAAAUGCGCAGAUAUCAGGAGGAACACCGGUGGCGAAGGCGGAUCUCUGGGCCAUUACUGACGCUGAGGAGCGAAAGCGUGGGGAGCGAACAGG
rnacentral:rRNA from 1 species